rnacentral:rRNA from 1 species
CGUACAGUAUGGCUCGGGCUCUUCUUGCGCAGGAUAGGUGGGAGGCGUUGAUCUUUUCUCGUGGGAAGAUGGUGCAUCGGUGAGAGACCACUCUUUUAUAGGCUAGAUUCUCUAGGCGUCUCUUCUCCGGAUCGGGAUGUUUUCCCCUUGGUCAAUGGAAUGGCGACGUCUUAUCCAUAUCCGACUCACAUUAAGCAUCAUGACUUCACAUGUCCCAUUCAACUUCAAAUUAAUGCAUCAGCACCAAUUUACUCUAGGGAUAACAGGCUGAUGAGCUGCAUAGACGAAAGUCGGCCUUAAUGAUCCGGCGGUACCAAGUGGAAGGGCCGUCCCUCAACGGAUAAAAGUUACUCUAGGGAUAACAGGCUGAUGAGCUGCAUAAAA